AUUGAACGCUGGCGGCAUGCCUUACACAUGCAAGUCGAACGGCAGCAUGGAGAGCUUGCUCUCUGAUGGCGAGUGGCGAACGGGUGAGUAAAGCAUCGGAACGUACCGUGUAGUGGGGGAUAACGUAGCGAAAGUUACGCUAAUACCGCAUACGCACUGAGGUGGAAAGCAGGGGAUCGUAAGACCUUGCGCUAUACGAGCGGCCGAUGGCAGAUUAGCUAGUUGGUAGGGUAAAGGCCUACCAAGGCGACGAUCUGUAGCGGGUUUGAGAGGAUGAUCCGCCACACUGGGGCUGAGACACGGCCCAGACUCCUACGGGAGGCAGCAGUGGGGAAUUUUGGACAAUGGGGGCAACCCUGAUCCAGCCAUGCCGCGUGAGUGAAGAAGGCCUUCGGGUUGUAAAGCUCUUUCGGCCGGGAAGAAAUCGCACAGGCUAAUACCCUGUGUGGAUGACGGUACCGGCAUAAGAAGCACCGGCUAACUACGUGCCAGCAGCAGCCGCCG
rnacentral:rRNA from 1 species